AUCCAGCUGAUGAGUUCCAAAUAAGACGAAAAGUGCAUCUUGGAU
rnacentral:hammerhead_ribozyme from 1 species